AUGGCGGCGCCGCGCGUCCUCCUCCUCCUCGCCGCCGCGGCCCUUCUCGCCGUCGCCUCCCUCGGGGACGCUUCGGGCGAGGGCCCCCGCGGGCGCAAGCUGCUGGUGCUCGUCGACGAUCUGGCCGUCCGCUCAUCCCACUCGGCCUUCUUCGGCUCGCUCCAGGCCCGCGGGCUAGAUCUGGAGUUCCGCCUCGCCGACGACCCCAAGCUCUCGCUCCACCGCUACGGUCAGUACCUCUACGACGGCCUCGUGCUCUUCGCCCCAUCGACCCCGCGCUUCGGCGGAUCGGUGGACCAGAAUGCUGUUCUGGAGUUUAUCGAUGCCGGGCAUGAUAUGAUUCUGGCAGCAGAUCAUUCGGCUUCAGAUCUGAUCCGCGGCAUCGCGACGGAGUGUGGGGUUGACUUUGAUGAGGACCCGGAAGCAAUGGUUAUUGACCACAUCAAUUAUGCCUCCAGUGAGGUUGAAGGUGACCACACCUUGAUUGCUGGCGAUGACCUGAUUCAGUCAGAUGUGAUAUUGGGGUCCAAAAAGAUUGAGGCUCCUGUGCUGUUUCGAGGGAUUGGGCAUGCGGCCAAUCCAUCCAACAGCUUGGUUUUAAAGGUUCUAUCUGCCUCGCCAUCAGCGUAUUCAGCAAACCCGGAGGCUAAGUUGGCAUCUGUUCCAUCUCUCACUGGGUCGGCCAUAUCGCUGGUUUCUGUUAUGCAGGCUAGGAAUAAUGCUCGUGUGUUGAUAUCUGGAUCACUGGAUUUGUUUAGCAACAGGUUCCUAAAGUCUGGUGUGCAGAAGGCUGGCAGCAAAAUGAGCCAUGACAAAGCUGGAAAUGAACAAUUUGUGACAGAGACGAGCAAAUGGGUCUUCCAUGAGAGGGGUCAUCUGAAGGCAGUGAAUGUCAAGCACCAUAAGGUUGGGGAGACAAAUGAGCCUAGCAUGUACCGCAUCAAUGAUGACUUGGAAUACUCAGUUGAGAUAUAUGAAUGGUCUGGUACAAGCUGGAAGCCAUAUGUUGCUGAUGAUGUUCAGAUUCAGUUUUUCAUGAUGAGCCCUUAUGUUCUGAAAAAUAUGUCAACUGACAAAACUGCUGUAUAUUCAGCAUCCUUCAAAGUUCCAGAUGUUUAUGGAGUUUUCCAGUUCAAGGUUGAGUACCAAAGGCUUGGAUACACUGGCCUCUCUCUUGCAAAGCAGAUUCCAGUGCGUCCAUACAGGCAUGACGAGUAUGAGAGGUUCAUAACUUCAGCGUUUCCGUACUAUGCUGCCUCAUUUUCAACAAUGGGAGCCUUCUUCAUAUUCUCGGUUGCGUACCUGUAUCACAAAUAG
rnacentral:rRNA from 1 species